rnacentral:rRNA from 1 species
GACGGAAGGUGCAAGCGUUGCUCGGAAUCACUGGGCGUAAAGGGUGCGUAGGCGGCCGUGCAAGUCUGGCGUGAAAGCCCCGGGCUCAGCCCGGGAAGUGCGCUCGAAACUGCGCGGCUCGAGUGCCGGAGGGGAGAGUGGAAUUCCUAGUGUAGAGGUGAAAUUCGUAGAUAUUAGGAAGAACACCAGUGGCGAAGGCGGCUCACUGGCCCGGUACUGACGCUGAGGCGCGAAAGCGUGGGGAGCAAACAGG